UCAGCGGCGGACGGGUGAGUAACACGUGGGCAACCUGCCUGUAAGACUGGAUAACUCCGGGAAACCGGGGCUAACACCGGAUAACAUCUUCCUCUGCAUAGAGGAAGAUUGAAAGAUGGCUUCUCGCUAUCACUUACAGAUGGGCCCGCGGCGCAUUAGCUAGUUGGUGAGGUAAGGGCUCACCAAGGCGACGAUGCGUAGCCGACCUGAGAGGGUGAUCGGCCACACUGGGACUGAGACACGGCCCAGACUCCUACGGGAGGCAACAGUAGGGAAUCUUCGGCAAUGGACGAAAGUCUGACCGAGCAACGCCGCGUGAGUGAGGAAGGCCUUCGGGUCGUAAAGCUCUGUUGUUAGGGAAGAACAAGUACCGUUCGAACAGGGCGGUACCUUGACGGUACCUAACCAGAAAGCCACGGCUAACUACGUGCCAGCAGCCGCGGUAAUACGUAGGUGGCAAGCGUUGUCCGGAAUUAUUGGGCGUAAAGCGCGCGCAGGCGGUCUCUUAAGUCUGAUGUGAAAGCCCACGGCUCAACCGUGGAGGGUCAUUGGAAACUGGGGGACUUGAGUACUGGAGAGGAGAGUGGAAUUCCAUGUGUAGCGGUGAAAUGCGUAGAUAUAUGGAGGAACACCAGUGGCGAAGGCGGCUCUCUGGCCAGUAACUGACGCUGAGGCGCGAAAGCGUGGGGAGCAAACAGGAUUAAUACCC
rnacentral:rRNA from 1 species